rnacentral:rRNA from 1 species
UCCUCCCUCUGGCGGCGUGCCUAAUACAUGCAAGUUGAGCGAUGAAGCUUGGUGCUUGCACCAAUUUGAAGAGCAGCGAACGGGUGAGUAACGCGUGGGGAAUCUGCCUUUGAGCGGGGGACAACAUUUGGAAACGAAUGCUAAUACCGCAUAACAACUUUAAACAUAAGUUUUAAGUUUGAAAGAUGCAAUUGCAUCACUCAAAGAUGAUCCCGCGUUGUAUUAGCUAGUUGGUGAGGUAAAGGCUCACCAAGGCGAUGAUACAUAGCCGACCUGAGAGGGUGAUCGGCCACAUUGGGACUGAGACACGGCCCAAACUCCUACGGGAGGCAGCAGUAGGGAAUCUUCGGCAAUGGACGAAAGUCUGACCGAGCAACGCCGCGUGAGUGAAGAAGGUUUUCGGAUCGUAAAACUCUGUUGGUAGAGAAGAACGUUGGUGAGAGUGGAAAGCUCAUCAAGUGACGGUAACUACCCAGAAAGGGACGGCUAACUACGUG